AUUUAUGGCUACAUUACCCUGAGCUCACCAAUCUUGUCUGAUCUCGUAAGCUAAGCAGGGUUGGGCCUGGUUAGUAUGACCUUGGGGACCUUUUCUGAAUUCUCCAGAGGUCAUUGGCC
rnacentral:rRNA from 14 species